rnacentral:rRNA from 1 species
AGCAGCCGCGGUAAUUCCAGCUCCAAUAGCGUAUAUUAAAGUUGUUGCAGUUAAAAAGCUCGUAGUUGAAUUUCGGGAUUAAUAUGUUGGUCGUGCCUCGGUACGUACUGGCAUUAUUGGUUUCUACCUUCUGAAGAACCUCGAUGUCAUUAAUUUGGUGUCUUGGGGAAUCAGGACUGUUACUUUGAAAAAAUUAGAGUGUUUAAAGCAGGCUCACGCUUGAAUACAUUAGCAUGGAAUAAUGAAAUAGGACGUUUGAUUCUAUUUUGUUGGUUUCUAGGAUUGACGUAAUGAUUAAUAGGGAUAGUUGGGGGCAUUAGUAUUCAAUUGUCAGAGGUGAAAUUCUUGGAUUUAUUGAAGACUGACUACUGCGAAAGCAUUUGCCAAGGAUGUUUUCAUUAAUCAAGAACGAAAGUUAGGGGAUCGAAGACGAUCAGAUACCGUCGUAGUCUUAACCAUAAACUAUGCCGACUAGGGAUCGGAUGAUGUUAAUUUUUUAAUGACUCAUUCGGCGCCUUACG